CAGCAGCCACGGUAAUACGGAAGGUUCGGGCGUUAUCCGGAUUUAUUGGGUUUAAAGGGAGCGUAGGCCGUAGAUUAAGCGUGUUGUGAAAUGUAGAUGCUCAACAUCUGACUUGCAGCGCGAACUGGUUUACUUGAGUGUGCACAACGUAGGCGGAAUUCGUCGUGUAGCGGUGAAAUGCUUAGAUAUGACGAAGAACUCCGAUUGCGAAGGCAGCUUACGGGAGCACAACUGACGCUGAAGCUCGAAGGUGCGGGUAUCAAACAGGAUUAGAUACCCCCGUAGUCCCUGUCUCUUAUAC
rnacentral:rRNA from 1 species